AGUUGGGUCCAGCUAGUUGCACCCUGGGGGCUGUGUUCCAUCUCUGUUGUUUUGCCUCAGGCCAAACUGUCAAGCCUCCAGCAGAGAUUCCUGGACACUCACAGUUCUUGCAGGAGAAGAUGAGUGCAACUCGCCUCCGUGGGCAGGUCAACCUGAGUGCUCCUUCUAGGGGGUCCCAAGACCUCUAGUCUCACAUUUCACUCGUGGCACAAACAGCAAUGGUUGCUGCUGUGUUUCGGUACUCAGCCUAGAGUGGGCAGUGCUGAGCCUGCAGCCCUGGCUCAAGCGGAGCCCAGAUUAUCCAGAGUCCUGUAAGCUGCAGGUUUUGAAGAAAUAUCUCCAGUCUUCAGAAAGAGGAAACAGCUCUCACCAUUGACAAUGUGAUAGAAGGGGCCGCAUAAUGGGUACGAAAUGCCGAGGUAAAAGAUCCCAGGAGAAACAAAAGUCACUAUUGUGUUUUUUUCCAUGACUCUCUUAAUAUGUUUUGAAACUGAUUUUUAAAUUGGGCUAGUAAACAAACGUAAUCUCUGAGCGCCAUCUCCUGGAACCAUUUACCACAUCACACCAGCCUCCCGUCAUCCCGGCCUCAGCAAGGCUCUGCACCACUGCCUGAAGCUGCAAGACAGGAAGGCUCCUGGGGGGCAGGCAAUGCCUAUUAGCCCCCUGUGCCUUCUGUCCCCAGACAUAUGGGAUCUUAGCUCUCCAACCAGGGAUGUUACCUGAACCUCUGCAUUUGGAAGGCGAAGUGUGAACCACUGGACCUCCAAGGAUGUCCCAGGAGCUUCAGUCUUGACACAGGAUGGAAAAGAGGUUGACUUUGGCCACUUUCUCCCGCACUGAAAGCAAGCAGGCAAACUGCAAAGCCUGGCUAGGAACGCGAAAAGAAGAGCGCACAGAAAGAGAACAGGACAUUGAGUGGACUCGCGGGCAGCCAGCACAGUGUAGCGGCCCUGGCCGGGUAGAGCGCCUGUCCGACAGCCCGACCUCCUCUGUCUGCAUCCUGGGUGCACGAGGCGCUCUGGGGCACAGAAAGAGGAUGGGAGGCCUGCUGUUAAGGCCAUAGCCUUGCCAGGGAUGCACGCUCCCUCACGGGUGCUUGCGCUUCUACUUGGGUGUUUGUGGAGGAGGUCGUGGCUGGCCCUGGUCUGGUCUGGGGAGGCUCCCAGCUUCCAGAAGCUCAAGGCUUUGGUCCAAGCCUGGAGGUCCAUCUGAGUCUACAGGGGUUGCUUUACACGAAACCAAGGGACAUUCAGAAAAUGUGCCUAUUUGGACUUUACUGGUGGUCCAGUGAUUUAGACUCUGUGCUCCUAAUGCAGGGGGUAUGAGUUUAACCCUUGGUUGGGGAACCAUAUGCCAUGCAGUGUGGCCAAAAUAAAGUAAAAUGAAAC
ensembl:lncRNA